rnacentral:rRNA from 1 species
UGCCGCGUGAUUGAUGAAGGCCCUAGGGUUGUAAAGAUCUUUCAACAGUGAAGAUAAUGACGGUAACUGUAGAAGAAGCUCCGGCUAACUCCGUGCCAGCAGCCGCGGUAAUACGGAGGGAGCUAGCGUUGUUCGGAAUUACUGGGCGUAAAGCGCGCGUAGGCGGAUUAUUAAGUCAGAGGUGAAAUCCCGGGGCUCAACCCCGGAACUGCCUUUGAUACUGGUAGUCUAGAGGUCGAGAGAGGUGAGUGGAAUUCCGAGUGUAGAGGUGAAAUUCGUAGAUAUUCGGAGGAACACCAGUGGCGAAGGCGGCUCACUGGCUCGAUACUGACGCUGAGGUGCGAAAGUGUGGGUAGCAAACAGGAUUAGAUACCCUGGUAGUCCACACCGUAAACGAUGAAUGCUAGUCGUCAGGGGACUUGUCCUUUGGUGACGCAGCUAACGCAUUAAGCAUUCCGCCUGGGGAGUACGGUCGCAAGAUUAAAACUCAAAGGAAUUGACGGGG